UGGCCUCCUUAGAAGGAAAAAAAGGUCUAUGUCAAAAUGUCCCAAAGAUAAGAAGCUGAAUGCUGCCAAGACAUUCUAGAGAGGGUUGGCCAAAAGAGGCAUCUAGGGUCACAACGGGAGAUGUUACCAAGGGCCCAGAGUUCUGGCUUCAAGUUCUCUGAGGUCACAUGAUGAGCUGAUUCUCUGGCCCCCAAAGUUCCAGUUUCAAGUUCUAUGAGGCCAAAUGACAAUACAGCAGUGGUGUAGGCUUAGAGGUUUUUUGCCCCUACCUCUCACUUUCUGCCCUUUGGCAGCUUAUUCUGAAAUGGCCCUUCUCUACAGUUGGGCUAAAAUUUCUGCAAACGGCAAAAGGACAGUGAACAUUAGCAGAGCACCUACUUGGGGUCAAGUGUUUUGUGCCCUCCUAGGCUCUAAGUUGUACCGAGUGGGACAGAGCCCUGCAAUUCAUCCUCGCUCUCUUGGAACCCGAAGGCCACCAUGUUGUAAAGAAGUCCUUAAUAAAUACUUCAUGUAGAUGCCAAGCCAUACCAGUUGUUCAUGAACCCAGGCCCCAGGGAACCAGCCAGCUGCAUGAAUGAGCCCUGGAAAAACCAGCAGAACCACCUAACCAGCCCAAACAUUUGUGAGAAUAAAUUGCUAUUGUUUAAAGUAAUUGUUGGGUUGGUUUGUUAUAUGCCAAUUGUUAACUGAUAUAAUUUCUCACCCAGUUUUAUCUGUGGGGAGGGAGUGAAUGUACUGAGCUGCCUUUCAAGGAUGCAGGUUGGCUAAAUGUAUAGUUGUACUUCUUAUUGUAAAUGCAUCCAUCAAUAUUUAGUGCAUCAGUCCUCAUGAGCUUGGUUAGUAGUUGUCUAACCCUGAGAUAAAAACCAAUUUUCUGUCCAGAAGAAAAUCAAGCAUCUAAGCCUAUGACACCAAGGAUUAGACCCCAGAUGGUAGUAUACUUGGCAAGGAUUAGUCUAGCUUUUGGGGGCUCUUAUUAGGGAGCCUCCAGGCUUCAUCUUGGUGGCAGCCUCAUUUCAAUG